GAGAUCUCAGCUGCCCUCACGGCCGCGGCUCCCUCAGGGGCGGCGGUGGGGCUGGUCCGGUCCGUGAGGGCACAGCCGCCUCAGCCCUCGGGAGCGACCCCUCGGCAAUGGCCCCUCGGCUUCUUCCCUGCAUAACAGGGGUCCCUGAGCGGGAGGUCACAGAAUCCCCAGAGGAGCUGGGGUUGGAAGGGGCCUCUGGAGAUCAUCCAUCCAACCCCCUGUCCUGGCAGGGUCACCUGGAGUAGGGAGCGCCAGCGUUCCGGUUACCUGCUCUGCAGGUGGAUGUCCACGGGGAUGAAGGUCACCGAGGGCUGCUGGGCCAGGCUGUGGCUGUUGUGCCCCACAGGAGGUGGCACUGCCAGCUUGGAGGCUUUGGGUUCCAGCUCCCGCCGCACUCGCAUGCGCCUGCAAAAGAGAAAUGUGACCACGGUCCCUGGCUGGGUUUUUCCUGUGGACAUCACGCUUGGAAAAGGGAUCUGUCUCCUGCCUGGACCUGGUGCUGCUCUCCUGGGAAACCAGAAAGCCACAGGAACAAGCCACAGCCCCCGUUCCGGCUCCUCUCGUGGUUCAAGGUUCGAGCUGCUGUGCAGAUGUUUUCCCCCAUUCUCCAUUUCAGCUGCCCCAGCUGCAGCCAGAGCAACACCUCCCACCUCCCUUAGAACCCGAACCAGGGUGAAACCUGCUCCUUACAGAAUCCUCCUCACGGAGGAGCAGCAGGGGGAUCCUGAUGGUCCAUAAGCAUUGGCAGGGGAUUUCUUGGCAGGACCAGAGUCCCGGUGGGCUGGGAAAUGGGCUCCUUCCUUACCUUGCAGCUCUCCCUUUCCUCCUCCAGGAGCAUUUGUGCCCCUAACACAGCUCAUGCUUCACUUUGGUGUCCACCGUGGGCUGGUUUCUACACCGAACCCACAGAACACAACCACAGAGGCUUUUUCACCAGAACCAGAGUUCCCAGAUCCAAUUAUUUAGCAAUUUUUUUUGUACACCUACAAAGACCCACAUUAGUCACUUCCAGCUCAAUCCCACGGAAGCCCAUGCGGCUCCUUAAAGCCCCAGACUGAAAUCCCAGCAGGGAUUACUCACCAAUCAUCUUUCCAAGGGAAAAAAUAUCACUUGAUUGGUUUCCUUACAAUGACUGCCCCAUCCUGCAUAAACAAGCAGGAGCACGAGGCUCUCCUGGGAACAGGGGUGGUUUUCCAGCCACAAACCCUCCCUGGCCUGUAUCUCUGGAGAGCAGAAGGGGCUUCUUUCAACAGUCAGCAACCAUAAGAGGUAUGAAUGUAAGUUAAUAAAAGUAAUUAAUAACUCAAUUUAAGUGGUACAGGAAGGGAGGCACCAGCCCCUGUGACUGUUGGGCAGCCCAAGUAAAAGCAAAUGUGAGUUCCCAAAGCCUCUGUGACAGCAGAGAGGGAGGGUGGGACUUUCCCAAGGAUCUGUCCCUCACCAGGUCCUCAAUUUGUAGCCCUUUACCAUGAGCUAGAGCCACACACCGGGUUUAUACACUGUUAAAUGUAUAGAUACAUUUGUAUAAUGUAGAAACAAAUGUUUAUACAUUGUUACUGUAAAGCUCUGCCGCCAAUAUCAGUUUGCACACACCAACCCUGAGCUCGCCCCACUAAAGGAAAACCAAAGGAGACUCUGGGAUGCUCCAGAAAAAUCCCAAUGGUGUCAAUGGAUGUCAAAGGACAAAACAUAACUGUGAAUUAACUCCAGGCUCACUACAGCCUUACCAACCCCUAGGAAGUGACACAGCCUUACAAGGUGUGGAGUGUCACUGGAUUUUCCACAGAGCAGGUUUUGACUCCUCCUGGAACACCAGCUCAGCUCCCAGCUCUUCUGGUUCCUCUGCAGUUUGCCUGCACCUGGCAGGGCAGAGCCUGGAGUGUCGUAGUGAGAACAAAGGGAACAGAUAUCACAGCCGGUAUCAAAACCAACUAAAAAUUCAUUAUGGUAGAGUUUGGAACUCUGUUGUGACAUCAGGCCCUGGGUGAUCUCCACGCACUCACAGCCUCAGAAAUAAUCACCGGUGCCCCUGGGAGGGAUGGAGGGAGCUGAGGUGACCUGUCCCAGCAGGAGGGCACAGCUCAGCCUGCCUGCCCUCCCACUCCCUGCUCCUGUGAUCCCAGCACAGCCGCAGAGGACAGCAAUUGGUUGGUUUUGUUUCAUGUAAGAGCAAACCCGACUGCCAGAACAUCUUUCCCACUGCCUCACCCUGGUCCUGCCAUGGUUGGAGUAUGUUCCCUUCACCAGGGGAAUCAAACAUUGCAAGCCUGAGCAUGCCAAAGUGUUACAGCACAGGGACCUGGCUCAGAGCAGGAUUUGAACACAUUAGGUAACAUCUAAAAUGUGGUGCUUUCUACUUUUGAGGCCCUGCUCUUGUUUUAUGGAGAAAUCUGGCCCUGUGAACCCUCCCUGGAGCUGUGAGGGUGGCAGGGACAGCCCAGUGCCGCACUCACUCACGUCUCAGGGUCAGUACCUACAGGAGAAGCCUUUUAUCUCGCUCGGCAUUUUCUCCAAGGGGAUGAAGCUUAGCUAGAGUCUCUUGCCACACCAGGAAUCUCUCCUGGCAAGUUUUACACAGAGAGUGGAGCAAAUAAACAAACCCCAGUAAGAUUCACAAACCAGCCUUCUGUUCUGGGCUCAAAAAUAUCCCUGAUCCAAACCCAGACAAAAAUGGAAAUUAAACCUUUCAGGGAAUACGUGAGGCAAUUGGAAUUUUAUGCACAGGGUCCUUCCAGGGGAAGCAGCUCUGUGACAAGGCAGAACGAGGAGCUGCAAUCACAGGUUCUCAGCUAUUAUAAAACCAACGUACUCCCAUAACUCCAGAACACAAAGAAACACCACACGCUUCAGCUGCUGCUCAAGGAGAACUUUUUAAAGGAAUUUGGGGUAUUUAUUUAGAUGAAGUGCAAGCUCAGAAAGGGCUGAGUUGCUGCCUCUGUGCAAGUUUGCUGCUAAAAGCAGCCCUUAGCAGCAGAUUCAGGUGGGGGUAAUUCGAGCCUCAUUUGCCAAGGCACCCUGGAGUGGGGCAGAAUCACUUCUGAUAUUGAUCAAGGAAAGCUUUGAAGCCUCUGUUUGGCUCCUCCUCCCCAGCUGGAGCGGUCCCUGCAAGGAUCCCAAACCCCUCCAGUGGGUCCCUGCCCAGCUCCCAGGGACAACAGCUCCCUGGCCCAUCUGCCCUGAGAACACUCAAGCAGACACCGCCAUUAAAAAUCUCAAUAUCCACCUGGGCCAGCACAGAACACAGCUCAAAUCCCAAGGGUGAAUGGCACUGCAUUGUUUUAUUUGAAGUGUCUUUACACAAUGGAAAGUGCUGGAAUGUUGUUCCACGUUUUACACAUUUAUACAUCAACAACAUCACGCUCGAGUCUCCUUAUAAAACUGUUUCUGAAGGUUUUCCACUUACUCCUACUUACAGCAGCUUCUACACUGGGGUAGAAAAGAAAUAAUUUAAAAAAUAGAAACACCACAGAGAAUCCCACCCAGACUUCUGGAAUUUCAAAAAUCCACAAGCCUGCUGGAUAACACAGGUUAUUGUUGGGUUUUUACCUUUAAUUCCAUGGAAAAGUGAGACAGUGAAGCUGGGCUUGGAGUGAUUUCAACACCUGAAGAGAUACACAAAUAUCACACCAGUGAUAGAUGGACAAACCCCAUCUCCCUACCUUUUCACUCAGUUCCAUUCCUGCCUCGGGAGCAAGGAACUCCUGCAGGAUCCCACUUUGAAGCUGGUGGCAGGAGGGAUCCUGAGCAGGCACGGAGCUGGAAACCUCCACUUCCAUGAGAAUCCCUGCCCAUUCCUUUUCCCCCUGCUGUCAGUCAAGAGAAAACACUUUGGAAGUUCAAGAAGCACAUCAGGGACAACUGAAACACACUGAAAUGAACCCGAAAAAUCUGAAUUUCAGAAUGAUUUCUACACACGAACAUCAGCAGCCUGGUUUGUUCACAAAUCAUUUUAUCUUUUUAAAUAGAAAAAAAGAAGAAUCUGUCUAGACUAAAAAAGUUUGGCUAUAAAAUAGCAUAAAAGCACAGGAGCAGGCAUAUCUUCCUCCUACUAAAACACUUAACACAAGGUCACAAAACCAAAGAUCUGUACUCUAAAAGAUGCAUCCUGGUCUCAGAAGCAGCAGAUGCCCUGUCAGACACACAGGAGGCCACACAGAAAAAGUCUUCAUGAAAAACAGCAAACAAGGGCUGGAACUGCAUAAAAACUGGCUAAGCCAGGCAACUGAUUGUCUUUGAAAAUACAAAACAGACUGGACAAGUUGACAAUUCACCCUUGGAUGUUUCAGCUCCUGCCAGGACCUAACAGUCACUGGAUUUAUUCAGACGUGGCCAUCCCAAGGACUGGAGAGGAAUAAACAUUCCCAGAUUGUCAGAGAGGAUCAGACAGGACACACUCAACAGCUGGAUCCAUAUUUCACUCGACCACUGUAAUUAAAUCCUAAUUAGGUGCUGGUGCACCGCCACAGACACCAGAGCAGAAGUGUCUGUGAUAGACUCUGAGGUUCUUCCUCUGGUGUUCUCCACCCUGAAGUCACCAACGCCCCUGAAUUCAGCUCCUGCGUGUAUUGGUGCCUCAUGUCCAACUACAAACACACACCCGGUAUUUCUGAGGAAAGCAAAGGGAACCCUCACCUCAGCUGGAAGGAAUCACAGAGUGCGCUCCACUUGUGUUUAACACUACAUUAACUGGAAGCUGUUGGACGCAUCAGCUUUUAACUGCUGUACAAGGAACUUGCUGGAACCCACUCGUGACAGGAGGAGAUUAUUUCAGCACUUGGAACAUCACACUGUACAACAGAGAGCAAAGGGCGACACCUGAAGAAACCAAAACACAGCCAGACUCCCUAACUGUCGCUAUUUCAAGUCAGGUGGAUUUGCUACACUCGGGGGGGACUAGUCCCUAAAAUUAAAGUGCUUUUCAGAGCAUUGGCAUCCAAAAUCUUGAACAUGAGAGACGACUACAGGCCAGCGCAGCUGUGCCCACAGCAGCAGCGCAGACACGGAGGGGCGGGUGCCUGGCGCCGGUACCGCGUGCAGCGGCUCAGCUCUAACAGGGCCUCGUGCCCCCCACCCCCAGCGCCCACUCCAAGGCUUUGGAGUCGCUCAGGAUGGCGGGGGGCGGCUCUGGGCGCCGCGUCUGCAGGAUCUUCUGUCUCGGGUUCUUCAUCUCCUCCUCCUCCUCCGUCUCGCUCUCGCACACGUGCACAACCACGCUGGGGGUGGAGUCUGUCCCUGCGUGCAGCUCGUACUUCUCCCCUGCGAGCAGGCAGCGAGAGGCGGGUUAAAAACAACCGGGAAAGGCAUUUCGCUCAAGAACCCCUUAACAACUUCAGCAACGCAACCAAACCAUCGUUAACUCCCGGCCCAUCUUUAAUGUGCUCAACCUCCGCUCUUCACCAAACCUCUGAAAUGCCUUAGAACAGUCCCUGUAGCAGUUACAGCACACUUCGAAUACAAUCAGUCUUUUAAUUAGCAUUUAGAGGAAGGGAGGGAUGUAAAAGACUCCCAGGAAGACAUCAGAACACAAGCAGCAAACACAUUUCUGAGUGACAUCAUUUGUGCUGUGUAUUUCCGUGACAUUUGUAAAUUAAAAGCCACAAAAGCAUUUGAGUGCCUCAAGCCUUCCCAUUUCCUGCUUUUCACAGAAAGCAAACACCACAUUUCCCAGGAAGGCUUAGAAAGAAGUUGAUGAUUAAACCCAAAAAGUCCAUAUUGGCUUCCAGACAUCCUUGAUAACUGGAGCUGCUCAUCUGCAAGAGACUGAACUUCUCAUUUCUCUGAUUGUUUGUUCCUUAGUCCUGAAGCUCUGACAAAAUUCAAUAUAUGGGCGUGAUGGAGCCACUCCCUCACAGUCCUGAUUAAAUAAUCAAUUACUGAAGUAAAGAAAGUGAUAGAUCGUUUCAUUGGAGUAAGAAACAUCACAUAAAAGAGACUCAAUUUCUUCUCACAGAAAAGGACAAGAAGAUAAACUCCCUCAAUAACCACUUUUGAGGGAAGCACCAAACAAAGGCAGGCGAAUGUCCCUACCUGGCCCCAGCUUGGAGACAGCACAGAGCAGGUCAUAAUUGAUCAGAGGGGUCGCAUCUUCACUCUGCUUCCACCCCACUGGGGGAGAGGCAGGCGGGGAAAUCAGGAACUGUUUCACAGGCUGUGGAGGAAGGAGGUAGGACUUGUCCCCAGUUUCACUGGACACCUGCAGGCAAAGCCAGGAGACAGAGAGCACAAAUAUUAAUUCCCUUUUUAUUUGGUUUAUUUCCCCACUAAUGCACAUCCACACCCUGCACUUAAUUCAGCCCAGCUUUAAAAAACAAAACGAGUUCAGCUCCUGGUACAACACCUCAGGGAACUGCUGCAGCUCAGAACCUGUGCAGGGGCUGCUGUGCCAACGCACCAGGGACAAAGCACCUCUUAGAAAGAGAAUUUGGGACCCCCUUAGUUUGCUUCAGCCCCUCUGUGUGUCUGGGGGAAGGUGGUUUGGUCACUGCCCAGAGACUGUCCCAACCAAUCUCAGCUCAAGAUGAAAAAUAAAACUCUGCCCUAAAAUGUUGACGUGGUUCAGUGUAGAACAAUGAGGUGAUUCCAGAUAUUUACCCCGAAUGAAGCUCAUGGGCAAAGGAAUAAAGAAACAAGGACAGAGGUACAAGUACAAGGUCUCUGUGUCCCACUGUACCUGUGCAAAGUAAAGCUUCAGCUUCUUCCCGCUGAACUCGGUCUCGUGCAGCUCGAUCCGAGCUCGUGCUGCUGCCUCGGGGUUGCUGAAGUUUAUCCUCACCCUCCUGAAGCUUUUGAACUGCUGGAACGUCACCUGCUCAUCAUAGACUGUGAAAAGUGCUUCAAACCUUUCCUGGAGAGAGGCAAAACAUUCCCCAGAUGCACAAUGAACAUUCUCACUCCGUGAAAAGACAUUUUCCUCUACUCUCCUCUCCCAAAUCCCACCUAUGCCCUGAAUCACCUCAACCUGCACAUUCCACACCCCCCUCCCUGCUUGUAAAUCCACAUCAGGGCAGCACAGCUUCCUCUCGCUGCUUCCACCUGAAUUCCAAGAGCAAACCGAGCAAAGGAGCGCAGAAACCCUGCACGCACAAAGUGCCACCUAGUGAGAGCUGCUCAGAGCUGCAGGUCUCCCAAAAACACUGGCACCUGCACACGAUUUUCAUCAAGGAGCUACAAAAAUACUCUGCAAAUCAGAUUUUAUUUAAAUCUGCCUUUGGAUGUUGUAUCAUGAUGUUUGGAAAAAGUAAAAAAUGAUAAUAAUCAGAAGAGCUUUUCAUGGGAGCAGCGUCGUUCUCUGUUAACAGUUUCCACGGCCAGAGAAGUGUGGAAUUAUCUGCCUUGGGUAACUGCCCUCAGCUUACCAGGAAAAUACUCUGGGUUGGGUUUUCCCUCAAUUAUAAUGUGCAUUGCUACACUGAAAAUCCAGACAAAAACAUCCAGUGGAACACUGAGAACACCUCAUGCUCCCUGCCCCUUACCUUCUCCUCCUGUACCUCGAACACAGCCUCGUGAACACUGCAAGCGAAGAGUGAGGUAGGCAAGUCACUCAAAUCCAUCAUCUCUUCCAAAUCCUCUUCAUUUUCCCCAAAAAUCAUCUGCUCCUCCUCCUCCUGGUCGCUGCUGUACAGGUCUGACUGGCUGUCGCUCCAGGACUUCAUGGAAUCCCUGAGCAUCCUUCCCCCCCAGCAGCUCCUGCCCAGGUGCCAGCUUCCAGCGGGGCCCUGCCAGCCAAAAAUCCACAGACAAACGUGAGGAACUCCCUGCUCCCACUGCCAACGGCAAAUGAUUUGACAAAGAACAACAGGAAUCAACAUGAAAUGUGCUCUGUCCCCCACGAAUCAGCAGCACCUCGUCCCCCUGCUGGGGAUGGAGGGAGGACUCUGCUGUUCCACCAAAAGGAAGAUAAAGUCAAGGAACUGCAAUUUCUCCUCCCUUUACUCUGACAGCAAUCCAAAAUGACAGCACUGUUCUAGAAGCUUUUCUCCAUGACACGCUUUACAGUGAGCAACAAUUUCUUGUUUAAUAAUUAAAACCAUUUCCUGAGUAA